UCAGUGAUGGCCGCAACAAGAACACAGCACACGGUUAAAUGAUUUACUAUAUCAGGAAUGUUAUAUUAUACUUGCAUACAUUUUAGCAUUAAUUACCCUAUAAACAUAUACUUAAAAAAGCUGAACAUUUACAUUACAUUCUGGUGCAAGAAAAGCAACACCAUUUUGAACAUAAGAAUGUAAUCCAAACUACUUUUGUAGUUCGCUUUUGAGCUUUGCUGAAAUAUCCCACGUAUGAGCAAUUUGUCUAUAACAUUCCUUUCUUUCCACAGGUGGCAGAUGCCCCUUUUCUUCGUUUUUACCUGCAUCGCACUAAAUAUUUUUCUGUUAAACAUAAAGGAAAUUAAAAAAAAUGCAAACCUCUGUUAUGUAGAAAAGAUAAAUAGUAUGUUUAUAGUAUAUUUAGUUUUUAGAUUUAGCACAGAACACCAGUUUCAACUCUCUAGUUCACUCUUGUUCCUUUAGGUAUUUAUGUUCUGCUAUUGCAUUUCUCCCCAUUUGGAACAAUGGCCUAACAAGAUCCAGGUUGGGGAGCUGCUUUGCACAAUCUUGAAGGGCUGGAUCAUUGCUGUUUUAAGACUGCUGAUACUCUGUGCAGGUACAUGGCCCAGGGCAGCUACAAGGGCACUAGGAGAGAAGUCAAGAUGGUGACACAGAGUUUUCUAGGAUUGUAGAGCAGGCCAGUGUGUUUUCUCAUUGAAGAGGAGAUUAUAAUCACUGCCAGCCAGGAGGAAUUUAGGAAUGAAAGGCCAGAAACGAUAUUAUUUUCCCUUGAUGUGGCUUCAUUCUCCUGGGACCCGAGGAACGACAGAUUCCCAUCAUAUGGCCUGAAGAGCUUUGCUGAUGGCUGUGUGAAAGGUAAAAAUAAUUUUUGUUAAAAUGAUACAAAAUAUCUAUUAGGAGCAAGAGAAUAGUCACAGUAUUUGUGUUGUGUUUAGUGUGGUUAGAUGGUUUUAGUUGUAAAAAGAGCAGGUUGUGUUUCAGUUUGCCAUGUAUUUCAUAUCAUUAUACAAUAAAGAUUACAAUAAAACUAUCCAGCCUUUAGACAUGGAAGUGCAAUAAUGAUGCUUUCUGAGAGACAUCUCCAUAUGUGUAUAGAUAUUCAUGUGUGUGUAAAUAUGGUGACUAAUGUGUUUAAUAUUUAAAUAAAUAACUUCCACAAAUGAACCCACUGCUUUCACAUUCAUCUGUCACAAAUCAUGUACUUACUUUGCGUGGCUGGAAAGGGGGCUCUGCUCCUUCUUCUUCCAGCACCACCCAGUCGAUGGGCUCAAAGAACGGGUGGCACCUGAUGUCUCCUCUGGCCCCGAGCCGUCGCCUCGGCUUCUUUUUGAGGAGCUAAAGGUUCAAAGAGCAAUUAUUUUAAUACCACUGAUUUUAUACUCUCUAAAAUACCCAUCAAUGAAAUUACUGCAAAUGAUUCAUAGGUUUGCAAGUUAAUUAUUCAAAUAGGUUUUUAUGAUACAUUAUAGAACGUGUGGUUUCAGAAUGUAACAUGAAACUCUUGUAGCUCAUUCAUGUUAUUGUAUAACCCUAUAAGAAUGCAAAGGCGAUAAAAGGUUUUAACUAAGGCAAUGCAGUAAAAUAAAAAAAUAUUUGUGUUACAAUACUAUUGUUGGAAUAAAUAAAAGUUGAAUGGACAUAUAUGCU